AGCAAGCGUUCCUGAAGCAUUCGGAAUUGUCUGAUUUCACCAGAUGAAUGAUCCCUGAGGGACACCAUGGAUACUGCUGGUCUAGGAUUGGCUCCAGCUUUUUCUGGAUCUGCAUUUGCUGUGCAACCCUGCUCGGUGGCUGAGAGAUGCUCUGGAGCUGUCUAGGCUUUUUCCAUCAAAAAUUGGGAAUCAUGCCCUUUCAUACAACACAGUUGUGGUCCAUCUUUUCUCCUGGGGUAGUAGAAAGAUCAAGAUCAUCAGAGAACCUAGGGUGCAGUAUCAGCUCUCCAGUACCAAACAUGGUUCAUUAACCUCUCGGAACCUCAGGUGUCUUGGGGCAUAGUUCAUGUCUCCUGGCCCAUCUCACAGGAUUAUCAGGAGGAUGAAUGAGAUAAGUGAGUGCAUUUUAUAAAUUGUG